UUGGUACUCCCUCCGUCCGGAAAUACUUGUCAGAGGAAUGGAUGUAUCUAGACGUAUUUUAAUUCUAGAUACAUUCAUUUUUAUGCAUUUCUUCAACAAGUAUUUUCGGACGGAGGGAGUAGUAA
rnacentral:pre_miRNA from 1 species